GUGUCAGCCGCCGCGGUAAUACGUAGGUGGCAAGCGUUGUUCGGAAUUACUGGGCGUAAAGCGCGUGUAGGCGGCUCUUCAAGUCAGACGUGAAAGCCCCGGGCUUAACUCGGGAACUGCGUUUGAUACUGUCGAGCUAGAGUGUGGAAGGGGCGAUUGGAAUUCCGUGUGUAGCGGUGAAAUGCGUAGAUAUACGGAGGAACACCAGAGGCGAAGGCGGAUCGCUGGGCCAACACUGACGCUGAGACGCGAAAGCUAGGGGAGCAAACGGGAUUAGAAACCCUCGUAGUCC
rnacentral:rRNA from 1 species